UCUACUUCAGCUUUUUUUUUACAUUUUACGUUUUACUCACCACCUUAUCACCGGUAUCUUGACUAAUCCUCAGUAACUACCAUUAUUUAGCAAAUAAGUAAGGAAGUGUUUGCUAUUGUGACAAUUAUCAUUCUUCGAAAUUCUUUGUGGGAUCUUUUUAUCCCUCCUCCCCUCUUCCCCGUGCAGAGAUUUAAAGCGGAUGUGCGUCUAGACCACCUCUCAAUAUUUCCUUAUUUCUCACAAUCUCUUUAAGGUUGACAAAGUUGAAUGAAUCUCCUCUUCCUGAAAGUCUACUUGUAUAAUCGUUUGGUCUGAUUAUUCGAUUGCGCACUAAAAUUUCGUUACCAAUCUUUUUCUGUUCCACUUUCCGUUCACAUACGUAUUUAACUUAGUACGCUUAGUCAAAGCAUCUUAUUCAUAGAUUAUCGCUCCCUGCCCCCUCAGGUUGAGGGUGAGAGCCAUGUCCGAGACUCAUCAUCAUCAUCAUUACCAGCUCGGUGGGCGAGGUAUCUGGAAGGUUACGCUGCUUGGCUACCAACCAUGUGACGCUUUAUUUUUUAUUUUUUUUUUAUUUUGUAUCUUAUUUUCAUUAUUUAUUGAUUUGCUCCAUGUAUACCUCCUCUCAAGAUCUGUGUUACCAGUUAGUUGCCAAAUGCUUUGUUCUGAAUGUUCGCCUUUAAUUCUUUUGGUGUGUUGUUCGGUGUACGUUUCAAUACAUCCAAUCCAGUGUGGCCAAUCCCUCUCGUGGGUACGAGCCACGUUUUGAGUUAACAGCUUCGUCGUCGUCAUCAAGGCGAAGGCCUAUUUUUUUUAUACACGGUUUUCUUCUGAUUGCUUUCUUCCCGCACAUAAAAAGUUUACUUUUUAAGCUGUAAUGUUCAAAUUGUUAACUCUCUUGUUUUUAUACACCUAAUUUAAACACCCGAUUCAUGGUCAAUGCCCCACUGUGGGCAUGUGCCACAGCCAGUCAGGAUAACAACAACAGCCUGAGCGGUGGCCGCUACCGUGCCAAUACCGCUAUCCAUUCCACCAAGCCAGCCAGGGAGCGCUCGUAGAGAACUGCAGACAACGAAGCCCUUGCCGUGGCCACCUGGAGCGCGCAGUGGUUCGUGAUCAGCGCGUCUACCUGAGCUGUGUUGGUGAAACGCCAUGGUUUUCCUCGCGACUAUCUUAACUCUCAGUAAGU